rnacentral:rRNA from 1 species
UGGGGAAUCUUGCACAAUGGGGGCAACCCUGAUGCAGCGACGCCGCGUGAGCGAUGAAGGUUUUCGAAUCGUAAAGCUCUGUCCUAUGGGAAGAUAAUGACGGUACCAUAGGAGGAAGCCCCGGCUAACUACGUGCCAGCAGCCGCGGUACUACGUAGGGGGCGAGCGUUGUCCGGAAUUACUGGGCGUAAAGGGUUCGCAGGCGGCAUGGCAAGUCCGAUGUAAAAGGCGAAGGCUCAACCUUCGUAAGCAUCGGAAACUGUCAAGCUUGAGUGAAGGAGAGGCAAGUGGAAUUCCUAGUGUAGCGGUGGAAUGCGUAGAUAUUAGGAGGAAUACCGGUGGCGAAGGCGACUUGCUGGACUUCAACUGACGCUGAGGAACGAAAGCGUGGGUAGCAAACAGG